UGGGCCCACAGCCAGGCGGUGUGGGUGAACGGGUCGUCGUAGGUGACGUCCAGCUUCCCGCCGGAGGCGGGGAGUUCGAAGCCCUGGGCCCAGCC
rnacentral:tRNA from 1 species